AGAAAGUGACAGAACGGCUUUGUGGAUGGCUUGAAACCAUUUUAUGGGGGUUCAAUUCCCUCCUUUCUC
rnacentral:tRNA from 1 species